rnacentral:tRNA from 1 species
AGCUUUAUAUUCAAAUAAUGAUAUAAAAUUGCAAAUUUUAAGGUGUAAAUAUUACUAAGGCUU